rnacentral:tRNA from 1 species
GCCGGUGUAGCUCAGUUGGUAGAGCAUCUGACUUGUAAUCAGAAGGUCGUCGGUUCGAUUCCGACCGCCGGCUCCA